GAUGAACGCUAGCGGGAGGCUUAACACAUGCAAGUCGAGGGGCAUCACGAGGUAGCAAUACUUUGGUGGUGACCGGCGCACGGGUGAGUAACGCGUAUGCAACCUACACUGUACAGGGGGAUAGCCCGGAGAAAUUCGGAUUAAUACCCCAUAAUGAUAUUUUAUGGCAUCAUAAAAUAUUUAAAGCUAAGGCGGUACGGGAUGGGCAUGCGUAACAUUAGCUAGUUGGUAGGGUAAUGGCCUACCAAGGCGACGAUGUUUAGGGGGCACUGAGAGGGUGAUCCCCCACACUGGUACUGAGACACGGACCAGACUCCUACGGGAGGCAGCAGUGAGGAAUAUUGGUCAAUGGGCGCGAGCCUGAACCAGCCAUCCCGCGUGAAGGAAGACUGCCCUAUGGGUUGUAAACUUCUUUUCCAGGGGAAUAAAAUCUCGAACGAGUUCGGGACUGAAGGUACCCUGGGAAUAAGCAUCGGCUAACUCCGUGCCAGCAGCCGCGGUAACAC
rnacentral:rRNA from 1 species